rnacentral:rRNA from 1 species
UACGUAGGGGGCAAGCGUUGUCCGGAAUUAUUGGGCGUAAAGAGCGCGUAGGCGGUCUGAUAAGUCGGUUGUGAAAGCCCAGGGCUCAACUCUGGAAGUGCAUUCGAAACUGGCGGGCUUGAAUGUCGGAGAGGGUGGUGGAAUUCCGAGUGUAGAGGUGAAAUUCGUAGAUAUUCGGAGGAACACCAGUGGCGAAGGCGACCACCUGGACGAACAUUGACGCUGAGGUGCGAAAGCGUGGGGAGCAAACAGG